rnacentral:rRNA from 1 species
UAGGGAAUAUUGCAAAAUGGGCGAAAGCCCGAUGCAGCAACGCCGCGUGGGCGAUGAAGGCCUUCGGGUCGUAAAGCCCUUUUUGAGGGGAUGAGGAAGGACAGUACCCUCAGAAUAAGCCUCGGCUAACUACGUGCCAGCAGCCGCGGUAAAACGUGGGAGGCGAGCGUUAUCCGGAUUUACUGGGCGUAAAGCGCGUGCAGGCGGAUUGGAGAGUUGGAUGUGAAAGCUCCCGGCUUAACUGGGAGAGGUCGUUCAAUACUUCCAGUCUUGAGUGCAGUAGAGGGAAGUGGAAUUCCGGGUGUAGUGGUGAAAUGCGUAGAUAUCCGGAGGAACACCGGUGGCGAAAGCGGCUUCCUGGACUGUAACUGACGCUCAGACGCGAAAGCUAGG